GCUGGGCGUGGUGGCGUGCGCCUGUACUCCCAGCUACCUGGGAGGCUGAGGCAGAAGAAUCGCUUGAGCCCGGGAGGCGGGGCUGCAAUGAGCCGAGAUCGACUGCACUCCAGCCUGGGCGACAAAGUGAGACUCCGUCUCAA
ensembl:misc_RNA Metazoa_SRP Metazoan signal recognition particle RNA